AUCGAUAAUUCACGUUAANUUUUACUUUAAUUUAAAACUUAUAUACCGCCAUCUUAAGAAUUAAUUAUAUAAUAUUUACCUAAAUAAUAUUUAAAAAGUUAGGUCAAGGUGUAAUUCACAUUAAAGAAUAGAUGAAUUACAUUAAAUACAACUUAAAGAUUAUAAAUAGAUAUAUUUAUACAAAUAAGAAUUUAAAAGCAAUAUUCAAAUAAUAUUACAAUAUGAUAUAGAUAAAAAAUGUGUACACAUCGCCC
rnacentral:rRNA from 1 species